GAUGAACGCUGGCGGCGUGCCUAAUACAUGCAAGUCGAGCGAACAGACGAGGAGCUUGCUCCUCUGACGUUAGCGGCGGACGGGUGAGUAACACGUGGAUAACCUACCUAUAAGACUGGGAUAACUUCGGGAAACCGGAGCUAAUACCGGAUAAUAUAUUGAACCGCAUGGUUCAAUAGUGAAAGACGGUUUUGCUGUCACUUAUAGAUGGAUCCGCGCCGCAUUAGCUAGUUGGUAAGGUAACGGCUUACCAAGGCAACGAUGCGUAGCCGACCUGAGAGGGUGAUCGGCCACACUGGAACUGGGACACGGUCCAGACUCCUACGGGAGGCAGCAGUAGGGAAUCUUCCGCAAUGGGCGAAAGCCUGACGGAGCAACGCGGCGUGAGUGAUGAAGGUCUUCGGAUCGUAAAACUCUGUUAUUAGGGAAGAACAAAUGUGUAAGUAACUAUGCACGUCUGGACGGUACCUAAUCAGAAAGCCACGGCUAACUACGU
rnacentral:rRNA from 1 species